ACCAGCUGUAGGCGACUCAGCCAGAUCCCUGUCCCUCAUUCCUCUGGAUGCCAGCAAGGCCUCUCUCCAGGUUCCACAACAGUGAACAAGCCUGGGAAGCCGAGAGUCACGGGCGGUGUUGUUCUCUUGCAAGACCACAACUCCCAGCAUUCCUCUGGACUCCAGCACACGCAAGCGCGGAACACAUUUCCCAGAAGCCUUUGCAUUCCCCGUUAAAAGCAAAGGCUACCACGAGUUCGCUCUCUUCUCUUACCCCGCCUUUCCUACCGUGUCUGCACGCCCCUUACCUGCCUGUUACCCCUCCCCCAUUAAAGUGCACCCACGUGGGACCGCUGCGUGUCUGUGUCUUCUUCAUCGCGUAACGCCUCUACCGUCUAACCCGCAGAAUUAAGAACAACAGUGGUGCCUUCCUUCGACUCGGAGACCUCUCUGUCCCAGUGCCUGAGGCUUUUGCCUCUGGGCUUCACCGGUACAAGGUCUGAACCGACCGCCUGCACCCACCUUCACCUGUUUAACACGGCCAUCCACCAUCGUCUCAUCCCAUCUUAAUGAUGACCCAGCUACUCAGGAAAAGCCAGACAGAUUUCUUCAAUCAGCCACCUCAGACGACAGCCAGGACUUCAAAUGCCAGUGGUACAACCAGCCAUCGCCAGACACCAGCGACCUAAGACUCCAAUGGGACAUCGCCAGAAUAAUCAGACAUUUCCUGGAGCCCUCA